AGUGAACGCUGGCGGUAGGCCUAACACAUGCAAGUCGAACGGCAGCACAGUAAGAGCUUGCUCUUACGGGUGGCGAGUGGCGGACGGGUGAGGAAUACAUCGGAAUCUACUUUUUCGUGGGGGAUAACGUAGGGAAACUUACGCUAAUACCGCAUACGACCUACGGGUGAAAGCAGGGGAUCUUCGGACCUUGCGCGAUUGAAUGAGCCGAUGUCGGAUUAGCUAGUUGGCGGGGUAAAGGCCCACCAAGGCGACGAUCCGUAGCUGGUCUGAGAGGAUGAUCAGCCACACUGGAACUGAGACACGGUCAAGACUCCUACGGGAGGCAGCAGUGGGGAAUAUUGGACACUGGGCGCAAGCCUGAUCCAGCCAUACCGCGUUGGUGAAGAAGGCCUUCGGGUUGUAAAGCCCUUUUGUUGGGAAAGAAAAGCAGCAGGUUAAUACCCCGCUGUUCUGACGGUACCCAAAGAAUAAGCACCGGCUAACUUCGUG
rnacentral:rRNA from 1 species